GACGAACGCUGGCGGCGUGCUUAACACAUGCAAGUCGAACGGAAAGGCCCUGCUUUUGUGGGGUGCUCGAGUGGCGAACGGGUGAGUAACACGUGAGUAACCUGCCCUUGACUUUGGGAUAACUUCAGGAAACUGGGGCUAAUACCGGAUAGGAGCUCCUGCUGCAUGGGGGGGGUUGGAAAGUUUCGGCGGUUGGGGAUGGACUCGCGGCUUAUCAGCUUGUUGGUGGGGUAGUGGCUUACCAAGGCUUUGACGGGUAGCCGGCCUGAGAGGGUGACCGGCCACAUUGGGACUGCGGUACGGCCCAGACUCCUACGGGAGGCAGCAGUGGGGAAUCUUGCACAAUGGGCGGAAGCCUGAUGCAGCAACGCCGCGUGCGGGAUGACGGCCUUCGGGUUGUAAACCGCUUUCGCCUGUGCCGAAGCGUGAGUGACGGUAAUGGGUAAAGAAGCACCGGCUAACUACGUG
rnacentral:rRNA from 1 species